CCCUCCCACAAGGUAUGCCUGUGGAUCCUGUCCUUGGACAUGUAAGAAUUGGAGGCAAAGAGAUGUGGAUUUGGAGAAGUCUGGAACCAGCUUACCCCCCAUAUGCUCAAGAUCACUGUUUCUCUCACAC
rnacentral:snoRNA from 1 species